rnacentral:rRNA from 1 species
UAACCUGCCCCUGACUCUGGGAUAAGCGUUGGAAACGACGUCUAAUACUGGAUAUGACUGCCGGCCGCAUGGUCUGGUGGUGGAAAGAUUUUUUGGUUGGGGAUGGACUCGCGGCCUAUCAGCUUGUUGGUGAGGUAAUGGCUCACCAAGGCGACGACGGGUAGCCGGCCUGAGAGGGUGACCGGCCACACUGGGACUGAGACACGGCCCAGACUCCUACGGGAGGCAGCAGUGGGGAAUAUUGCACAAUGGGCGAAAGCCUGAUGCAGCAACGGCCGCGUGAGGGAUGACGGCCUUUCGGGUUGUAAACCUCUUUUAGUAAGGAAGAAGCGAAAGUGACGGUACCUGCAGAAAAAGCACCGCCUAAAUACGUGCCAGCAGCCGAGGUAAUACGUAGGGUGCAAGCGUUGUCCGGAAAUAUUGGGCGUAAAGAGCUCGUAGGCGGUUUGUCGACGUCUGCUGUGAAAUCCCGAGACUCAACCUCGGGCUUGCAGUGGGUACGGGCAGACUAGAGUGCGGUAGGGGAGAUUGGAAUUCCUGGUGUAGCGGUGGAAUGCGCAGAUAUCAGGAGGAACACCGAUGGCGAAGGCAGAUCUCUGGGCCGUAACUGACGAUGAGGAGCGAUAGCAUGGGGAGCGAACAGGAUUAGAUACCCUGGUAGUCCAUGCCGUAAACGUUGGGCGCUAGAUGUAGGGACCUUUCCACGGUUUCUGUGUCGUAGCUAACGCAUUAAGCGCCCCGCCUGGGGAGUACGGCCGCAAGGCUAAAACUCAAAGGAAUUGACGGGGGCCCGCACAAGCGGCGGAGCAUGCGGAUUAAUUCGAUGCAACGCGAAGAACCUUACCAAGGCUUGACAUACACCGGAAACGGCCAGAGAUGGUCGCCCCCUUGUGGUCGGUGUACAGGUGGUGCAUGGUUGUCGUCAGCUCGUGUCGUGAGAUGUUGGGUUAAGUCCCGCAACGAGCGCAACCCUCGUUCUAUGUUGCCAGCGCGUUAUGGCGGGGACUCAUAGGAGACUGCCGGGGUCAACUCGGAGGAAGGUGGGGAUGACGUCAAAUCAUCAUGCCCCUUAUGUCUUGGGCUUCACGCAUGCUACAAUGGCCGGUACAAAGGGCUGCGAUACCGUAAGGUGGAGCGAAUCCCAAAAAGCCGGUCUCAGUUCGGAUUGAGGUCUGCAACUCGACCUCAUGAAGUCGGAGUCCCUAGUACUCGCAGAUCAGCA